rnacentral:rRNA from 1 species
UACGGAGGGUGCAAGCGUUGUCCGGAUUUAUUGGGUUUAAAGGGUGCGUAGGCGGCCCGUUAAGUCAGUGGUGAAAGCCAACAGCUCAACUGUUGAACUGCCAUUGAUACUGACGGGCUUGAGUACAGACGAGGUAGGCGGAAUUGAAGAUGUAGCGGUGAAAUGCAUAGAUAUCUUCAAGAACACCGAUUGCGUAGGCAGCUUACUAGGCUGUAACUGACGCUGAGGCACGAAAGCGUGGGGAGCGAACAGGAUUAGAUACCCUGGUAGUCCACGCUGUAAACGAUGAUUACUCGAUGUCGGCGAUAAACUGUCGGCGUCUUAGCGAAAGCGUUAAGUAAUCCACCUGGGGAGUACGCCCGCAAGGGUGAA